rnacentral:rRNA from 1 species
AGAGUUUGAUCAUGGCUCAGGAUGAACGCUAGCGGCAGGCCUAAUACAUGCAAGUCGAACGCUCAGUAGCAAUACUGGGAGUGGCGCACGGGUGCGUAACGCGUACACAAUCUACCUCUAAGCGGGGGACACCUCCUGGAAACGGGGAUUAAUACCGCAUAAUAUGCCGAAGUCGCAUGACUUUGGUAUUAAAGCAGCAAUGCACUUAGAGAUGAGUGUGCGUCCCAUUAGGUAGUUGGUGAGGUAACGGCUCACCAAGCCUAUGAUGGGUAGCCGGUCUGAGAGGAUGGUCGGCCACACGGGCACUGAGACACGGGCCCGACUCCUACGGAAGGCAGCAGUAAGGAAUAUUGGUCAAUGGUGGAAACACUGAACCAGCCAUGCCGCGUGGAGGAAUAAGGUCCUACGGAUUGUAAACUCCUUUUGACGAGGAAGAAAAUGUUAGAUUUAUCUAAUUUUGACGGUACUCGUAGAAUAAGCACCGGCUAACUCCGUG